rnacentral:rRNA from 1 species
GAGGUAGUGACGAAAAAUAACGAUACGGGACUCAUCCGAGGCCCCGUAAUCGGAAUGAGUACACUCUAAACCCUUUAACGAGUAUCCAUUGGAGGGCAAGUCUGGUGCCAGCAGCCGCGGUAAUUCCAGCUCCAAUAGCGUAUAUUAAAGUUGUUGCGGUUAAAAAGCUCGUAGUUGGACUUGUGUCCCACGCUGUCGGUUCACCGUUNGUCGGUGUUUAACUGGCAUGCCCGUGCGGACGUCCUGCCGGUGGAUGCGGUCGGCCGUGGGCCUCUCGGUCUGCGUGUCGGCGGUCCGAUGCAAUCCUACCGCGGUGCUCUUCACCGAGUGUCGAGGUGGGCCGGCACGUUUACUUUGAACAAAUUAGAGUGCUCAAAGCAGGCAGUGGUUCGCCUGAAUAUUGUGUGCAUGGAAUAAUGGAAUAGGACCUCGGUUCUAUUUUGUUUGGUUUUUCGGAACCUGAGGUAAUGAUUAAUAGGGACAGACGGGGGCAUUCGUAUUUGCGACGUUAGAGGUGAAAUUUCUUGGAUCGUCGCAAGACGAACCUAAGCGAAAGCAUUUGCCAUGAGUGUUUUCAUUAAUCAAGAACGAAAGUUAGAGGUUCGAAGGCGAUCAGAUACCGCCCUAGUUCUAACCAUAAACGAUGCCAGCUAGCGAUCCCGCCGAAGUUCCUCCGAUGACUCGGCGGGCAGCUUCCGGGAAACCAAAGCUUUUGGGUUCCCGGGGGAA